GGAAUAUUGGACAAUGGGCGCAAGCCUGAUCCAGCCAUGCCGCGUGAGUGAUGAAGGCCUUAGGGUUGUAAAGCUCUUUCAGUGGGGAAGAUAAUGACGGUACCCACAGAAGAAGCCCCGGCUAACUUCGUGCCAGCAGCCGCGGUAAUACGAAGGGGGCUAGCGUUGUUCGGAUUUACUGGGCGUAAAGCGCACGUAGGCGGAUUGGUAAGUUAGAGGUGAAAUCCCAGAGCUCAACUCUGGAACUGCCUUUAAUACUGCCAGUCUAGAGUCCGGAAGAGGUAAGUGGAACUCCUAGUGUAGAGGUGGAAUUCGUAGAUAUUAGGAAGAACACCAGUGGCGAAGGCGGCUUACUGGUCCGGUACUGACGCUGAGGUGCGAAAGCGUGGGGAGCAAACAGGAUUAGAUACCCUAG
rnacentral:rRNA from 1 species